CUGAAAAUUGUAGCUUACCAAAAUAGAGAGACGGAGAGACAAUCAAGAAAUAUUGUCUGCAAAAACAAGAAUUGCUCUCAUGGUUUCACUGUAACUGAAAGCAUCGGCCUCAACCCUCAAGAGCGAGCCCUGAAAGCCUGAGGGGGUUUGCUAAGAACCUCAUACUGCUGGAGAUAGCAAGCACUUCACGUUUUGGAGUGGAACAGAAAUCAGAGAGAAGACCGGUUUGCUGUUUAAGUAAUUGCAGCCUUUACGACGCUCAUGUUUCCACCAGCUUGAAACAGUUCAGAGAUGAAGCUAAAUAUUUUUUUUUGAUCGUGAAGAUCAAUGUUAAUGGCUUAUGGCAUCAUGCAAAACUGAAGGCAGUGCAGAUGCUGGUAUUGUUUUCCACAAUUAUAAAGGUGAUUAUGGCUGGUUUAGCAUUUCGCAGUCUUCUAUCAAUCCAUUCAUGCCAAGCAUACGUUGCCCAUGGUGGCCUUGUUCUUCACUAAGAUGGUCAUCUGCAAAGUCAUGCCAGCGUCUCUUCAUGAGCAGCUCUCUAGCCUGGGAAUGCUAGAGUUGCCAUAUCUGCAAUGGUGUACUCCGGUUCUUAAUUCAGAAUUUUCUCAAGGAUCCUUUGCGUAGGUAUCAGACCCUAGACAGACUUCAAGUAUAGAUGAAGAAGGCUUGAGAGUUCUGUUCUUUAUAGACUUCAAAUAUAAAUGAAGGAGGCUUAAGAGUUUUUGGAAGAGCUUUAUUACUUGAAGAGUUUGUCUUGAAUGAAAUUUUAUAUCUUUAAGAAUUCUUUUCCCUUUAUCUAGGGUGAGACCUUUUAUUUAUAGAGACUUGUAGGGGCACUCAAGUGUUUUGUCAAUGUCAUAUGAUAUUUUUUUUUUAUUGGUUGAUUCUUAUUUAUAGGAUCUUGUAUUUAUGAUAAAAUAUUUUAAAUAUACAAAUCAUGUAUCAACCUUCUAUUCACCAAGAAAUAUAUAAAGAUCUAUUUAUUUUUCA